CCCUUAGAUGUUCUGGGCCGCACGCGCGCUACACUGACAGAGCCAACGAGUUUAUCACCUUGGCCGAAAGGUCCGGGUAAUCUUGUUAAACUCUGUCGUGCUGGGGAUAGAGCAUUGCAAUUAUUGCUCUUCAACGAGGAAUGCCUAGUAAGCGCGUGUCAUCAGCAUGCGUUGAUUACGUCCCUGCCCUUUGUACACACCGCCCGUCGCUACUACCGAUUGAAUGGCUCAGUGAGGCCUUCGGACUGGCCCAGGGAGGUUGGCAACGACCACCCAGGGCCGGAAAGUUGGUCAAACUUGGUCAUUUAGAGGAAGUAAAAGUCGUAACA
rnacentral:rRNA from 1 species